rnacentral:lncRNA from 1 species
CUGAAUAGCAUAUUCAUAUAUGAAAUGAAGAUCAUACAUACCCCAAAUCAAUAUAUAGUUAUCAAACGUAAAUGCAUUUUUAUAUAGUAUGUUAUAAAAAGGAGGGUCAUUUUUAUAUAAAACCUCUCAAAAAAGGGGGAGGCAGUGCUCGUGUAUUUUACUAUUAAUCCAUUUACUUAUGCAACAAUUACCACUUGUGGAUCAGGAUAAAAUAACAUGUGCUUCCUGUCAUCUAACAAAUUUUAAUUGGAGUGACAGUUUAAUUUGAAAUUAUGGUGUUUUUUUAAGUGGUGCAGAUGAUAAGCCCAACAUCAUUUUGAUGUGAUUUCUCGGGC